AUGCCGGAGGGGGUUAACACUACUACAAUUGUGUUGAUUCCUAAAAUUUCUAACCCAAUGAAGUUGUCUGAUUAUAGGCCAAUUAGCCUCUGCAAUGUUAUUUACAAAGUCAUCUCAAAGUGCCUUGUGAAUCGGUUGCGUCCGUUGUUGGAUGAGUUGAUCUCGUUAGAACAAAGUGCAUUUAUACCCGGAAGGAUGAUUACGGAUAAUGCUCUUGUUGCCUUUGAAUGUAUUCACCACAUUAAACAAGAGAAGGAUCCAACUAAGAGCUUUUGUGCAUAUAAGCUGGAUCUGUCCAAAGCCUAUGAUAAAGUGGAUUGGGGUUUCUUGAAGCAAGUGAUGCAAAAGGUGGGUUUCUCUCAACGAUGGAUUGACUGGAUAAUGGUGUGUGUCACAUCGGUGAGGUACUCUGUUAAACUAAAUGGGACUCUCUUGGAUUCAUUUGCACCAUCGCGAGGGCUUCGGCAAGGUGACCCACUUUCUCCAUUCUUAUUUUUGUUUGUGGCGGAUGGAUUAUCAGCCAUAUUGAGAAGCAAAGUGCAAAGUGGUGAUAUUACUCCUGUCAGGGUAUGUCGAAGGGCGCCAGGCAUUUCACAUUUAUUGUUUGCUGACGAUACUUUGCUGUUUUUUGAGGCGUCUAAACCACAAGCAGAAAGAGUUAAGGUUGCACUGGACCUGUACGGGUCAGCAACGGGGCAGAGUCUCAAC
rnacentral:rRNA from 1 species